rnacentral:rRNA from 1 species
UACGUAGGGGGCAAGCGUUGUCCGGAUUUAUUGGGCGUAAAGAGCUCGUAGGCGGCUCGUUGCGUCGGCUGUGAAAACCCGCAGCUCAACUGUGGGCUUGCAGCUGAUACGGGCGGGCUGGGAUUCGGUAGGGGAGACUGGAAUUCCUGGUGUAGCGGUGAAAUGCGCAGAUAUCAGGAGGAACACCGGUGGCGAAGGCGGGUCUCUGGGCCGAUACUGACGCUGAGGAGCGAAAGCGUGGGGAGCGAACAGG